GACAGGGGGGUCAAGUGUUACUCAUCAUGACUGGGCGUAAAGGGCAUCUAGGCGGUUUAGGAAAGUUUGUCGUUAAAUGUUUCGCUCGGUGCGGAGCCUACGACUUAUACUGCCAAACUAGAGUCUGCUAAACGAUGGCUGAACUAUCAAAGGAAGGGUGAAAUCUCUAGAUAUUGAUGGGUCAACCAGUGGCGAAGGCGGCCAUCGGGGGCGUGACUGACGCUGAUAUGCGAAGGCGUGGGGAUCAAACGGG
rnacentral:rRNA from 1 species